rnacentral:rRNA from 1 species
AGGACGAACGCUGGCGGCGUGCCUAACACAUGCAAGUCGAGCGAGGAGAUCCUUCGGGAUGAUCCUAGCGGCGGACGGGUGAGUAACACGUGGGCAACCUGCCUCAUAGAGAGGAAUAGCCUUCCGAAAGGGAGAUUAAUACCUCAUAACAUUGCAGUUUCGCAUGGAACAGCAAUUAAAGGAGCAAUCCACUAUGAGGUGGGCCCGCGGCGCAUUAGCUAGUUGGUGAGGUAACGGCUCACCAAGGCGACGAUGCGUAGCCGACCUGAGAGGGUGAUCGGCCACAUUGGGACUGAGACACGGCCCAGACUCCUACGGGAGGCAGCAGUGGGGAAUAUUGCACAAUGGGGGAAACCCUGAUGCAGCCAACGCCGCGUGAGUGAUGACGGCCUUCGGGUUGUAAAGCUCUGUCUUCAGGGACGAUAAUGACGGUACCUGAGGAGGAAGCCACGGCUAACUACGUGCCAGCAGCUGC